UAAAAAAUUAUAAUAGCAUCCACAUCAUUAGCAGCUCACAGUACUUUUCACUUAUAUAGUCACGACUGACAAGUACUAGCAGUUCACAGACACAUUCUAAGUGAUUUUGAUUUCAGAUCCAGAUAAUGAGAAGCUAAUUGUUUUUUAAAAAUAAAACAGGGUCUAUAAUUCAUUACACAGAUAAAUGAUCAUUUCCCAUUAAAUAUUUUGUUUCCUAAGUGCAGGUAUACGUAAACAAGUGAAAGGGAUGCAACCCACAAAUAGUCCUAAUUCAAGGGCUAGAGAAUUUGACAGUUUAGUUGAUAGGUCAGCAAACUAUAGGCUUCAGGUCAGACCUAGCCUGCUGCCUACCUUUUUUUUUUUUUUUUUUUUUUGAGAUGGAGUUUUGCUGUUGUCGCCCAGGCUGGAGUGCAAUGGCAUGAUCUUGGCUCACCACAACCUCCACCUCCCGGGUUCAAGCGAUUCUCCUGUCUCAGCCUCCUGAGUAGCUGAGAUUACAGGCGCCUGCCACCACACCCAGCUAAUGUUUGUAUUUUUAGUAGAGACUGUUUCACCAUGUUGGUCAUGCUGGUCUCAAACUCCUGACCUCAGGUGAUCCACCCGCCUUGGCCUCCCAAAGUGCUGGGAUUACAGGCAUGAGCCACCAUGCCUGGCCACUGCCUACUUUUUAUAAAUAAAGUUUUACUACUAAAAUGGCCACAGUUACAAUAGGCCAUAUGACCUCCAAAGCCUAAGUGUGGACUCUAUUAGGGUAACUUUUUAUGUGACUCAUGAGGUUUCUUUUCUUUUCUUUUUUUUUUAAUAGAGUCUUGCUCUUGUCACCCAGGCUGGAUUGCAGUGGCAUGAUCUUGGCUCACUGCAACCUCCACCUCCCGGGUUCAAGCGAUUCUCCUGCCUCAGCCUCCUGAGUAGCUGAAAUUACGGGCACCCACCACCAUGCCCGGCUCAUUUUUUGUAUUUUUAGUAGAGAUGGUGUUUCACCAUAUUGCCCAGGCUGGUCUCAAACUACUGACCCAGGUGAUCACCUGCCUUGGCCUCCCAAAGUGCUGGGAUUACAGGCGUAAGCCACUGCACACAGCUGAGGUUUCUUUUUUAAAUAAUGAAAAUGUGCCUUACCAGACAACUUGAAACAUUUUAAAAACUGAAUGUUUGUAGUGAGAGAGAUUUUUUUAAGGAACAAAUUUGAUGUGUUUUAACCUGACCACACUUUAUUCUGCUCCACACCAUUCCAGGGCUAAAUCAGUAAAUCCUAGUCCAAAUUCCUGUGACAGGAGAGGCCCUGAACAUAAUCAAAAUGCAACUAUCAGUUUACCUGAUAUGCUUUGACAAGAAAAAGUGGGAAAGCCUGCCAUUUGUCUCUUAAAAACUGUAAGUUGAGAGGGGGAGAAAAGCCAUUUUCAAGACUACAAAAGUGUAGCACCCACUAAAGGUUGGAAAGUGCUUUUGACACCACCUGGACAACAUGGCAAAACCCCAUCUCUACAAAAAAAAAAAAAAAAAAAAAAGGCUGGCUGUGGUGGUGCUCGCCUGUAGUCCCAGCUACUUAGGAAGCUGAGGUAGGAGAAUCAGCUGAGCCUGGGAAGUUUAG
rnacentral:lncRNA from 10 species